rnacentral:rRNA from 1 species
AGCAGCCGCGGUAAUUCCAGCUCCAAUAGCGUAUAUUAAAGUUGUUGCAGUUAAAAAGCUCGUAGUUGAAUUUCGGGAUUGACACAUCGGUCGUGCCUUAAGGGGUAUGAACUGGUGUAGUCAAUUUCUCACCUUCUGGAGAACCGCGCUGUCCUUAAUUGGGUGACGCGGGGAACCGGGACCUUUACUUUGAAAAAAUUAGAGUGUUUAAAGCAGGCAUUUUGCUUGAAUACAUUAGCAUGGAAUAAUAAAAUAGGACGGCAUGAUUCUAUUUUGUUGGUUUCUAGGAUCACCGUAAUGAUUAAUAGGGAUAGUUAGGGGGCAUUAGUAUUCAAUUGUCAGAGGUGAAAUUCUUGGAUUUAUUGAAGACUAACUACUGCGAAAGCAUUUGCCAAGGAUGUUUUCAUUAAUCAAGAACGAAGUUAGGGAUCGAAGACGAUCAGAUACCGUCUAGUCUUAACCGAUAAACUAUAGCCGUACUAGGAA